GAUGAACGCUGGCGGCGUGCUUAACACAUGCAAGUCGAACGGUGAAGGCGGAGCUUGCUCUGCUGGAUCAGUGGCGAACGGGUGAGUAACACGUGAGCAAUCUGCCCCUGACUCUGGGAUAAGCGCUGGAAACGGCGUCUAAUACUGGAUACGAGCUGCGAAGGCAUCUUCAGCAGCUGGAAAGAAUUUCGGUCAGGGAUGAGCUCGCGGCCUAUCAGCUUGUUGGUGAGGUAAUGGCUCACCAAGGCGUCGACGGGUAGCCGGCCUGAGAGGGUGACCGGCCACACUGGGACUGAGACACGGCCCAGACUCCUACGGGAGACAGCAGUGGGGAAUAUUGCACAAUGGGCGAAAGCCUGAUGCAGCAACGCCGCGUGAGGGACGACGGCCUUCGGGUUGUAAACCUCUUUUAGCAGGGAAGAAGCGAAAGUGACGGUACCUGCAGAAAAAGCGCCGGCUAACUACGU
rnacentral:rRNA from 1 species